rnacentral:rRNA from 1 species
GAAUCCCGUCUUUGACACGGACUGCCUGUACAUUAUGGUGUGCUCUCGAAGAGUCGAGUUGUUUGGGAAUGCAGCUCAAAAUGGGUGGUAAAUGCCAUUUAAAGCUAAAUAUUGGCGAGAGACCGAUAGCGAACAAGUACCGUGAGGGAAAGAUGAAAAGAACUUUGGAAAGAGAGUUAAACAGUACGUGAAAUUGCUGAAAGGGAAACGCUUGAAGUCAGUCGCGUUGGCUAGAAAUCAACCUUGCUUUUGCUUUGUGUACUUUCUGGUUGACGGGUCAGCAUCAAUUUUGACCACUGGAUAAAGUCUUUGGGAAUGUGGCAUCUUCGGAUGUGUUAUAGCCCAUUGUCGCAUACGGUGGUUGGGAUUGAGGAACUCAGCACGCCGCAAGGCCGGGUUUCGACCACGUUCGUGCUUAGGAUGCUGGCAUAAUGGCUUUAAUCGACCCGUCUUGAAACACGGACCAAGGAGUCUAACAUGCCUGCGAGUGUUUGGGUGGAAAAACCCAUGCGCGCAAUGAAAGUGAAAGUUGAGAUCCUCUUCAAAGGGGGAGCAUUGACGCCCGGACCAGACCUUUUGUGACGGAUCCGCGGUAGAGCAUGCAUGUUGGGACCCGAAAGAUGGUGAACUAUGCCUGAAUAGGGUGAAGCCAGAGGAAACUCUGGUGGAGGCUCGUAGCGAUUCUGACGUGCAAAUCGAUCGUCAAAUUUGGGUAUAGGGGCGAAAGACUAAUCGAACCAUCUAGUAGCUGGUUCCUGCC